CGUCGAUUCAAAUUCCUAUGCUAUUUGAAUGCGUGUGCAUUCCAUAUAAUGCAGUAUGUGAUUACAUAUUAAAUUGGAAAGUAAAUUUAAUAUGUAUGUGGAGUUUUUAUCGACGUUUGUGCGCAACAUUCUAAUAUAUUUUGACAAAAUCGUGUAAGAAACGAGAUGUCCAGUUUUUGACAAUCCGGCAUUAUUGUGAAUUCUUGUGGGUUUUCCAUUUCCACAAUCUCUAAUUGAUUUGAGCUGCUAUCGUUACAUUAAUUGAGGGUAACGAAUCGCCGAUACGCUUGUUCCAUAAAAUAAAACAACUACGGGAUUAUCAUGAUCUAACGAAACUACAAUCAAAGAAGAUAGACAGAACGUACAGAGUUUCCAAUAAAAUACCAGGACAAAUAACAGAAGUAUGUUCUCAAAACAGAAAUGCAAUUACUUUCUUGCAAGAUAUAUCUGGAAAUAUGAUUAAGUACCUGUUCAAACAUUGAUGGGGAAAUUAUAAGCAAAAAAUGAUGGAGUAGAAAAGUUGAAUAAAUCCAUUAAAGAAAUUAAACAGUGUGGAAUGAAAUACUAGGUCAAAUAACAAAAACGUACCUUGAAAAAAGAUGUACAGAAUUGCUUCAUAAUAAGCAACACGCUCGGGUCUGGCCAGUUGCUUAUUACGGAUCAGGUAUGCUAUUCAGCUCGACUUUGAUCUCGAAACGGGACGAUAGAGAACACGAGAAACGAGUGAGAGAUCCGAGGUAGCGGCAAAUCAUAAAGUGAUCGGCGGAGCAAGGAUGUUAUUUUUUGAACAAGGAUAGAAUAUUCUACUAACCGAUGUCACUGCUCAGUCGAGCGUGACAAUUUAUUACCCAAAACAUCGGCUUCUCGCUUUCACGGACUUCUCACUCAUUUCUCGAACCUCUCACUUUGCGGGCGACAUUAAACGAUAAGGUGGGGAUAGAGAUUUGCAUGUUUCCAGCCGGAAAACUGUUGCUUAUUACGGAUCAAUACUGUAAUUACUAUCUCGCAAGAUAUAUCUGGAAAUAUGUUUAAGGUAAAAGAAAUAUCAAACCUUAUUUUCUUCAAUACAUCCUUUAUUUCAAAUUAAUGUUGUUGAGUACAAUGUAUCAAUAAAUAAUAAUAUGAUUUCUUUUUCUUUAUCUUCAGCAUUUAAUCAGACAUUGAUGACGAAAUUAUAACAAAGAAUGUAUGGAGUAGAAAAACUUGAUAGAUACAGAACUAUCCAAAGAGGAGGAGUAUUAAAUUAGAUAAGUUUGUCUUCCAAAUCAUGGACUAUAAAAACCAUGUAAUAACAAAAAUUUUGUUAUUUGUCCUACUAUUUCAUUCAACACUGGUUAAUUUCUUUAAUGCAUCUAUUCAACUUUUCCACUCCAUAAUUUUUUGAUUGUA